UGGCUCAGGAUGAACGCUAGCGGCAGGCUUAAUACAUGCAAGUUGAACGGGAUUCAUCGAGUAGUAAUACUUGAUGAUGAGAGUAGCGCACGGGUGCGUAACACGUAUGCAACCUACCUUUAACCGGGACAUAACCUCUAGAAAUGGAAGCUAAUAUCCCAUGUGAUUAUUACGCGGCAUCGCGAGAUAAUUAAAAUUCAGAUGGUUAAAGAUGGGCAUGCGUCCCAUUAGCUAGUUGGAGAGGUAACGGCUCACCAAGGCGACGAUGGGUAGGGGUUCUGAGAGGAUGAUCCCCCACACUGGUACUGAGACACGGACCAGACUCCUACGGGAGGCAGCAGUAAGGAAUAUUGGUCAAUGGACGCAAGUCUGAACCAGCCAUGCCGCGUGCAGGAAGACGGCCUUAUGGGUUGUAAACUGCUUUUGUACGGGAAGAACAUUGUCUACGAGUAGAUAACUGACGGUACCGUAAGAAUAAGGAUCGGCUAACUCCGUGCCAGCAGCCGCGGUAAUACGGAGGAUCCGAGCGUUAUCCGGAUUUAUUGGGUUUAAAGGGUGCGUAGGCGGGUAUAUAAGUCAGAGGUGAAAUUCCAGGGCUCAGCCUUGGGACUGCCUUUGAUACUGUAUGUCUAGAGUAUAUUUGGAGUGGGCGGAAUGUAGCAUGUAGCGGUGAAAUGCUUAGAUAUGCUACAGAACACCGAUCGUGAAGACAGCUCACUAAACUAUAACUGACGCUCAGGCACGAAAGCAUGGGGAGCAAACAGGAUUAGAUACCCUGGUAGUC
rnacentral:rRNA from 1 species